rnacentral:rRNA from 1 species
CCCUUAGAUGUCCUGGGCCGCACGCGCGUUACACUGAUGCAUUCAACGAGCUUAUAACCUUGGCCGAGAGGCCUGGGCAAUCUUGUUAACGUGCAUCGUGAUAGGGAUAGAUUAUUGCAAUUAUUAAUCUUCAACGAGGAAUUCCUAGUAAGCGCGAGUCAUCAGCUCGUGCUGAUUACGUCCCUGCCCUUUGUACACACCGCCCGUCGCUCCUACCGAUUGAGUGCUCAGGUGAAUAAUUCGGACUGCAGCAAUGUUUGGAUCCCGAACGUUGCAGCGGAAAGUUUAGUGAACCUUAUCACUUAGAGGAAGGAGAAGUCGUAACA